AGAGAUAUGUCUGAGUGGAUUAAAGAAUAUGUUUGGAAUACAUAUAAAACUAAUGUUUUCAUGGGUUCGAAUCCCAUUGUCUCUU
rnacentral:tRNA from 1 species